UAGUCCACGCCGUAAACGAUGUGUGCUAGAUGUCGGGUCCAUAGGAUUCGGUGUCGCAGCUAACGCACUAAGCACACCGCCUGGGGAGUACGGUCGCAAGAUUAAAACUCAAAGGAAUUGACGGGGACCCGCACAAGCGGUGGAGCAUGUUGUUUAAUUCGACGCAGCGCGCAGAACCUUACCUGGGUUAAAUCCACCGGGAUCCUGUAGAGAUACGGGAGUGCCCUUCGGGGAAUCGGUGAGAAGGUGCUGCAUGGCUGUCGUCAGCUCGUGUCGUGAGAUGUUGGGUUAAGUCCCGCAACGAGCGCAACCUCUGUCGUUAGUUGCCAGCAUUCAGUUGGGCACUUUAACGAGACUGCCGACGUCAAGUCGGAGGAAGGUGGAGACGACGUCAAGUCCUCAUGGCCCUCAUGCCCAGGGCUACACACGUGCUACAAUGGUCGGUACAAAGAGCCGCGAUACCGCGAGGUGGAGCCAAUCUCAAAAAACCGGCCUCAGUUCGGAUUGG
rnacentral:rRNA from 1 species